UCCCUUGGAUAGUUUGUUAAAAUGUAGAUUUUGAUUAAGUCUGUCGUGGGGCCCAAGAUUCUGCACUUCUAACAAGCUCCCAGGUACUGCUAA
rnacentral:pre_miRNA from 1 species